rnacentral:lncRNA from 1 species
UUCCGCAGAAACUAGACUUGGAAGGAUACAACAUACCUAAAAAUCUAGUAAAAAAUUCUUCUGGAUUAACAAAAAAUGAUUUUUGAAGUUGGCUAAAACUGGCAGGCCGUAACUUUGGACAUCAUUCAUGAGUGCGCUUCUCUUUUUGUAUCUUUCUCCAAACAGGAUUUCUCCCCUUUUUUUUUGGGUCUGGUUGAGGGUGUAGAUAGUAUCGAUUCAAACCGAGAAGAUGCAAGGAAUCGCCAUAUAACUGACAAGAUACUAACUGGCGGGUUACCUCUUGCUGCUAAGCGGGAAGAAAUAGUUGGAGUACUCUUUCGACAUCCUUGAGCAUCGUUUCAUUGCAUCCUCUGCUGGAGCUUUGGCGAGAGAAGAAUGCAGGACACCCUCUUCUUGAAACUUGGUGAGAAGGCUCAUGGGGUAUCCAAUCCUCUAAACUUUGAUGUGGAACAAUUAUUGCUUCAAACUUGGAUAGGGAUUACAUUUACUGUCCUUUUCUCUUUUUGACGGCUGGAUAUGGCGUGUUUCAUCCUUAGACCUUCGGUAAAAAUAUUGUUGUUGGAUCGAGUACAUAAUCUGUAUGUUUAUACACUAUACUUCAACAC